rnacentral:snRNA from 1 species
ACACUUACCUGGCACGAGAGACACCACAAUCACGAGAGUGGUUUUUCCCACGGUGGCAAGGCUCACCUAUUGCACUGGGGGUGUGCUGACCCCUGUGAUUUCCCCAAAUGUGGGUAACUCAACUACAUAAUUUGUGGUAGUGAAAGACUGCUUUUGAGCCUCCC